AAAUAACAUUUUUUGUGGAAGAAAUAGGAAGCUGCAUAUUAACAAACUAUACAGAGACUACUCUAUAAUGCUUCAAGCGAGAUUCUGAAGAACAAAGUGAUGGCAAUGUAGAACUGUACAGUCUGGUAAAACCUAAAGAAGAACCAGUCUCUCCUGCCACGGCAUAGAACAAAUUAACUGCGAUGCAACAAAUAAACUAUUUCGUUCUGAACUUCA